CACGGAGGGGUAGGGAGGCAGGAACACCGGAUUAAGGGACACAGUUUUCGUCCUCUAAUAUGGAAUGUAUUUCCUCCCCAGAUGAUGAGUGAUGUCUGCUUAUCACAGAAAACGUGGGAAACAAACGUGGAAGAGAAGGCCUGGUUAGGAUGUUUUGGGGCAGCUUUCCAGGCACCAGGAAACGUCUCAGGACUCAACAGCAGCCAUUUGGUAUCGGGCUGGGUGGCAUCCUCAAAGCCAAGCAGUUCUGCGCUUGGAGCCGAGGACGGGAGCAGUGUGCUGCGAGCCUGGUAACGUCCCCCACUCACCUCCGUCUACGAAAGGGGCAGCUGGUGGCCGCUGAGGUGGGGCCCAGAGACCAGGCCAAGGGCAGGGGUGAGCCUGCUGGCCGCUGCAGACACUCAUGGAGCUCUCACGCUGCCUCUGAGACUGGUCAGCAAGUGUGACCAGGUGACUCCAGCUGCCAUGCCCAGGCUGCCCUAACACCGUGGGGGGCACGGCCACCGCUGCGAGGUUCUGCGGACACAGCUCUAUGUCCAGGCUCAGAAGCUGGCCUGUGUCACUGUCUGGCCUCAGAAGCCGGUCUCCCAAGGCCUCCUGAGGCAGAAGCAGGACGUCUGCGUUCUGUCCAGCAGCUUCUCCUUGGCUU